rnacentral:misc_RNA from 1 species
GUAGGUGAACCUGCGGAGGGAUCAUUACCGAAUGGCCCUCGGGCCGUCGACCCUUCAAACCCGUGGAAGAAAGAAGAUUGUGCUUCGGCGCCCCGGCGUCGUGUUUAUGCAGUGCCCAGUCCGUCGUCUGAACUUGAAACAAAAGAUUAAAACUUUCAACAAAGGAUCUCUUGGCUCUC